rnacentral:rRNA from 1 species
GCGUGAGUGAUGACGGCCCUAGGGUUGUAAAGCUCUUUCACCGGUGAAGAUAAUGACGGUACCUGGUAAAGAAGCCCCGGCUAACUUCGUGCCAGCAGCCGCGGUAAUACGAAGGGGGCUAGCGUUGUUCGGAAUUACUGGGCGUAAAGCGCACGUAGGCGGACUGUUUAGUCAGAGGUGAAAUCCCGGGGCUCAACCCCGGAACUGCCUUUGAUACUGGCAGUCUAGAGUCCGGAAGAGGUGAGUGGAAUUCCGAGUGUAGAGGUGAAAUUCGU